CGAAUGGGGAGAUUCAUCGUCAGCUCAUUUUGUAUAUGUAUAAGUUAUGAUGCGGGUUACUACUUGUAGUAUUGCCUGCACAUUCUUGUAUAUUUAGUUGCAAGAUGUUGUCGGCGUGCACUUCUCCCCUAGUAGGACGUCGCGACCUGUUGGGUGUCGGUCUACGGCCCAAGUGAUAGCCUUUAAUGUAAUUUAAAAAACAUUGAAGAUCCUUGGUGUUUUCUGACCGGCUACUUGGCAGUAUUCGUACGGUAUUUAGCCGCUAAAUUUAUUAAGCGUCCAUAUCCAUCACAAGCGAGGCUAAUUUACUGAUAGUACGGACCUAGUGCCGUCGUUGGUAUUGGCCAGCUGUUGGUUGAUGGUAUUCUAGGACUGGCUAAAAUUAAUUACCGGUCGGCGAUG
rnacentral:rRNA from 3 species